AUUGAACGCUGGCGGCAGGCCUAACACAUGCAAGUCGAGCGGAUGAGAGGAGCUUGCUCCUCGAUUCAGCGGCGGACGGGUGAGUAAUGCCUAGGAAUCUGCCUAGUAGUGGGGGACAACGUGUCGAAAGGAACGCUAAUACCGCAUACGUCCUACGGGAGAAAGUGGGGGAUCUUCGGACCUCACGCUAUUAGAUGAGCCUAGGUCGGAUUAGCUAGGUGGUAGGGUAAAGGCCUACCAAGGCGACGAUCCGUAACUGGUCUGAGAGGAUGAUCAGUCACACUGGAACUGAGACACGGUCCAGACUCCUACGGGAGGCAGCAGUGGGGAAUAUUGGACAAUGGGCGAAAGCCUGAUCCAGCCAUGCCGCGUGUGUGAAGAAGGCCUUCGGGUCGUAAAGCACUUUAAGUUGGGAGGAAGGGCUCAUAGCGAAUACCUGUGAGUUUUGACGUUACCAACAGAAUAAGCACCGGCUAACUUCGUGCCAGCCGCCGCCGUAA
rnacentral:rRNA from 1 species